rnacentral:rRNA from 1 species
CGAUGAAGCCCAGCUUGCUGGGUGGAUUAGUGGCGAACGGGUGAGUAACACGUGAGUAACCUGCCCUUAACUCUGGGAUAAGCCUGGGAAACUAGGUCUAAUACCGGAUAGGAGCGUCUACCGCAUGGUGGGUGUUGGAAAGAUUUAUCGGUUUUGGAUGGACUCGCGGCCUAUCAGCUUGUUGGUGAGGUAAUGGCUCACCAAGGCGACGACGGGUAGCCGGCCUGAGAGGGUGACCGGCCACACUGGGACUGAGACACGGCCCAGACUCCUACGGGAGGCAGCAGUGGGGAAUAUUGCACAAUGGGCGCAAGCCUGAUGCAGCGACGCCGCGUGAGGGAUGACGGCCUUCGGGUUGUAAACCUCUUUCAGUAGGGAAGAAGCGAAAGUGACGGUACCUGCAGAAGAAGCACCGGCUAACUACGUGCCAGCAGCCGCGGUAAUACGUAGGGUGCGAGCGUUAUCCGGAAUUAUUGGGCGUAAAGAGCUCGUAGGCGGUUUGUCGCGUCUGUCGUGAAAGUCCGGGGCUUAACCCCGGAUCUGCGGUGGGUACGGGCAGACUAGAGUGCAGUAGGGGAGACUGGAAUUCCUGGUGUAGCGGUGGAAUGCGCAGAUAUCAGGAGGAACACCGAUGGCGAAGGCAGGUCUCUGGGCUGUAACUGACGCUGAGGAGCGAAAGCAUGGGGAGCGAACAGGAUUAGAUACCCUGGUAGUCCAUGCCGUAAACGUUGGGCACUAGGUGUGGGGAC